rnacentral:rRNA from 1 species
GGAAUAUUGCACAAUGGGCGAAAGCCUGAUGCAGCAACGCCGCGUGAACGAUGAAGGUCUUCGGAUCGUAAAGUUCUGUUGCAGGGGAAGAUAAUGACGGUACCCUGUGAGGAAGCCCCGGCUAACUACGUGCCAGCAGCCGCGGUAAUACGUAGGGGGCUAGCGUUAUCCGGAUUUACCGGGCGUAAAGGGUGCGUAGGUGGUCCAUCAAGUCGGUGGUUAAAGGCUACGGCUCAACCGUAGUAAGCCUCCGAAACUGUUGGACUUGAGUGCAGGAGAGGAAAGUGGAAUUCCCAGUGUAGCGGUGAAAUGCGUAGAUAUUGGGAGGAACACCAGUAGCGAAGGCGGCUUUCUGGACUGCAACUGACACUGAGGCACGAAAGCGUGGGUAGCAAACA